ensembl:lncRNA novel transcript
UGAGAUUCAGGAGCACUUCAGCGGGGUGGUGCUGGCUCAAGGUCUCCCACGAGACCGCAGGCAUGGUGUGGGUCAGGCUGAGGGCCUAAGGGUGACUUCCAGGCCGGCUCUGCCUCACCUGGGGUCUCAAAGGGCUGCCCCUCUGCCCUCAGGACACAGUGCUAUCUUACUCCAGAAUGGGAGAUCAGACCACACAAGGCGGAAGCUGCAAUGUCCUUAAUACCAUCAUUCUGCAUUACCUGUGGUAACACAGGUCCUCUCUGUUAGAUGGAGUCUCGCUCUGUUGCCCAGGCUGGAGUGCAGUGGCACGAUCUCAGCUCGUUGCAACCUCCACCUCCCAGGUUCAAGCGAUUCUCCUGCCUCAGCCUCCUGAGUAGCUGGGAUUACAGCCCCAGGUGGAGGAGGGAGCGGAAGGUCUCCAGCGAUUUCCUUCCCCGUCGAUCCUACACCACGCGCAUGAACAUGCUUGCAUCCUCAAUUCCGGGCUUCCAGAGACUGGCCUGAUGUACCACCAAACAAAACCAGAGAGAGACAAGGGCCACUGCCACUUGUGGACCUGAGGCACGCGGGGAGAUUGCACGCAGCUUGCAAAUCCCACAAAACACGUAAUUAAAUCGCUAAACCUGUGAGGCUCAACAAUCUUAAAUGGGUCUGACUCAUCCUGGUGCCUGUUUGCAGCAUCAUAGCAGAAAAUGUACUUGAGGAAACAGAAAAAAAGACUGAGAACAAAAUAAAAUGUCAGUGAAAUGAAA